rnacentral:misc_RNA from 1 species
UUAGACAGAUUUGUUCGAAGUGUCCACACAGAUGAUUGUUAGUUAGCUUUAAUAGCUAAUUAAUAUUGCUCUUUAAAAAUUUGGAAAGCUGAUAAUUAAAUUCUCGAAUAACAAGUAAUUGUUAUUCAGAGUUUUCGAAAGAAAAUGCCGAUUAAUCAUUUAGUUGAUUAAUUAGCGUCUACUUUAGUAUUACUUAACUUCUGGCGAAGUUAAAACUGUCUUUGACACAUACACCUCAAAGUAAUAAACCAUUUUGGGUUGUAUGGUUAAGUGACUAAGCGUACACGGUGGAUGCCUUGGC